GUCUCGGGCUUCUUUGAGGAU
rnacentral:miRNA from 1 species